GCAACAGGUACCUGGGGCAGAAUAAGAACACUGAAGUCCUCUUCCUCCUGGAGAGAAAACCCUUCGAUUGGAAGCUGGGGGACAGGAAAGCUUGUUUGUGGCUACAGCAGUCUGAAGUAGUCUCAGCCUCGUAGUAAAGAAGAGAGGGUUCUGUUAUCACCAGGGGAAAGCUGGUGUGCUGGCGAUGCAACAGUAGCUUUGGCCUAGCAAGAGAAAAUCUCCAGCCCAGGAAGAACUUGUCUUUGUCAAUGUCCAGAUUGCACUAUGUUAGUUGAGAAGAAGCCAGAAACAAAAAGUCAAAAUGGAAUGGUCCUUCUUUUUCAUUAUGAUCCACCCA